CGUAGAGUGUAGCUUUCUGUCUACCAUCUCUUACCCAUGUCUUUUGCGUACUACACGUUUCCUCGGCAGGUCCGCCUGCCGUUAGGACAAUUUAACCAUUUGCAGUUGAAGUCAGCGUCUGAAAAAUUUAAUAAUUACAACUUUUAACAACGGAUCUCUUGGUUCUGGCAUCGAUGAAGAACGCAGCGAAAUGCGAUAAGUAGUGUGAAUUGCAGAAUUCAGUGAAUCAUCGAAUCUUUGAACGCACAUUGCGCCCCUUGGUAUUCCAUGGGGCAUGCCUGUUCGAGCGUCAUUUGUACCUUCAAGCUCUGCUUGGUGUUGGGUGUUUGUCCCGCCUUUGUGCGUGGACUCGCCUUAAAGCAAUUGGCAGCCGACGUAUUGUUUCGGAGCGCAGCACAAAUUGCGCUUUGUAGCUAUUACGACAGCAUCCAUCAAGCCUUUUUUCACGCUUGACCUCGGAUCAGGUAGGGAUACCCGCUGAACUUAA
rnacentral:rRNA from 1 species